AUGAACAGUGCCAAUGCAAGCAUAGGGAGAGGAGAAUAUAUGCACAUGAGAUGUGCUGCUCAUAUUCUAAACUUGAUAGUUACCGAUGGGCUAAAAGAGUUUGAUAUCUCGAUGAAGCGAGUCCGUGCUGCAGUCAAGUUUGUUAAGAAUUCUCCAGCUAGAAUUACUAAGUUCAAGAAGUGUGCUGAAUUAGAGAAGUUGGCAAACAAAGGUUUCUUGUCACUUGAUGUAUGCACUAGAUGGAACUCCACAUUCUUAAUGUUGAAAGCUGCAGCCACAUAUGAGAAGGUGUUCGUGAGGUAUGAAGAAGAGGACCCAUACUUUGCAAUUGAGCUAAAUGGCGACAAAAUGCCAGGAGUGCCUGAACCAGAAGAUUGGGAUAAUGCUUCAAAGAUGGCAGAGUUUCUUGAGCAUUUCUAUAAGCUUACCCUUCAUGUUUCAGCCUCAAAUCAUUGCACAUCUCACAUCUUCUUCCAUCAAAUUGCUGAUAUCAUUGUCUUGUUGAGGGCUUGGUGUGGAAGUGGAGACCCUUUGCGGAGAGAGAUGGGAGAAAGGAUGAUGGACAAGUACAACAAGUAUUGGGCAGAUCACAAGAGCUUCAACAUCUUGAUCUUUGUGGCUGUUGCUCUUGAUCCAAGAUACAAGUUGUCAAAUUACAUCAAGAUUGCAACUUUUGAAAUGUUUGGGGAUAUCAAGGGAGAGGAGGUGUGGACAAAAAUGAAUACAACUCUUACAAAUCUGUUCCAAGAGUAUGUUAAGUUAUAUGGUCCAACUGAGCAAGAAGUGCAGCCUGAUGAUGCACCUAGCUUUGAAGAGGACAGCAGCGAAAGCUUUAUGAGUUCCUUGAUUGCAAAGAGAAUGAGAAUGAAUGACUGUGGAAUCAGCAUCACCCCUUCGAAGUCUGAACUUGAAAAGUAUCUUGCGGAGGAUAAUGAAGCAAACAAUAGCAAAUUCAACAUUCUUGAGUGGUGGAAGGUCAACUCAUCUAGAUUCCCUGUGCUAUCACGUUUAGCUCGUGAUGUCCUAGCUUUCCCGAUAUCUACAGUUGCAUCGGAGUCAGCUUUUAGCACCGGUGGACGCAUUCUUGAUGAAUUCCGAAGCUCGCUCACUCCAUUCAUGGUGCAGGCACUAAUUUGCACUCAGGAUUGGUUGCAAAGAGAAAUUCAUGUUAACAAUGAAGAGAAUAAAGAGCUACUGGCCAACCUAGAGGAAGCGGUACUUCAAGAAUUGUCUGAUCUGAGCGUUACUAAUGCAAAGUCCAGUACAAGUGCUGGUGUCCGCAUCACCAUUGAUGACACCGAAUCAUAA
rnacentral:rRNA from 1 species